CAUGGACGUAAUAAAAAAAGGCGGACGGAGUCUUGUUAUAUACAAAACUGUGUCUUCACUUUUCUUCAGAGUCGGCCACACACACAUUCAAUGUGUGUGGACCGUGUACAUACAGUCAGCUGGCCGACUCUGAACGACACAGUUUUGUGUAUGGUGGGACUCCGUCCGCCUUUUUUAUACGUCCAUGUACACAAAAUUGUUUUAAUUA